CACCUCAGCAUGAGCUUGGCCGUCGAC
rnacentral:sRNA from 1 species